rnacentral:lncRNA from 1 species
UUCCGUAUGCAAGGUGACCUCAGUGUGACCCAUCUCGUAAAAAUCCGGUGACCACAAUACGCAUGGAUGUCCUUAAAAUAAACUAUUAUCUGAAUUUACAUGUUAAACACGUGCUCAAUUUCCAUGCUUUUUUGUUUAUUUUUCGUCAAUUGUUGACAAACAGGUGACAAUCGUUAAACUUCGGCUUCAAAACACGAACUUUAAUUACCUGCCAUAUUUUCACAACAACACUGACCGAAGUGAGAAAAAAAUUGACAAUUAUACGAAAUUUACACGAAAAAAUGAUAAAUUCGAG